GUUGGUGAUUUAACGUGGUGGGUACACCUGAUAACAUUCCGAACUCAGAAGUUAAGCACCAUAGUAGCGAUGAUACUCUAUGGAAGGGGAAAGUAGCUAGUCGCCAACA
rnacentral:rRNA from 1 species